CGAAGCCUGACGGAGCAAUACCGCGUGAGGGAAGAAGGCUUUUGGGUUGUAAACCUCUUUUGUCAGGGAAGAAGAAUUGACGGUACCUGAAGAAAAAGCAUCGGCUAACUCCGUGCCAGCAGCCGCGGUAAUACGGAGGAUGCAAGCGUUAUCCGGAAUCAUUGGGCGUAAAGGGUCCGCAGGUGGCGAAUAAAGUCUGCUGUUAAAGACCGGGGCUUAACUCCGGAAAGGCAGCGGAAACUGAUUAGCUAGAGUACGGUAGGGAUAGAGGGAAUUCCCAGUGUAGCGGUGAAAUGCGUAGAUAUCGGGAAGAACACCGGUGGCGAAAGCGCUCUACUAGGCCGAAACUGACACUGAGGGACGAAAGCUAGGGUAGCGAAAGGGAUUAGAUACCCCUGUAGUCUUAGCGGUAAACGAUGGAUACUAGGUGUAGCUUGUAUUGACCCGAGCUGUACCGAAGCUAACGCGAUAAGUAUCCCGCCUGGGGAGUACGCACGCAAGUGUGAAACUCAAAGGAAUUGACGGGGGCCCGCACAAGCGGUGGAGUAUGUGGUUUAAUUCGAUGCAACGCGAAGAACCUUACCAGGGCUUGACAUGUCGCGAAUCUAGCGGAAACGUUAGAGUGCCUUAGGGAAUGCGAACACAGGUGGUGCAUGGCUGUCGUCAGCUCGUGUCGUGAGAUGUUGGGUUAAGUCCCGCAACGAGCGCAACCCUCGUCCUUAGUUGCCAAUAUUAAGUUAGGCACUCUAGGGAGACUGCCGGGGACAACUCGGAGGAAGGUGGGGACGACGUCAAGUCAGCAUGCCCCUUACGUCCUGGGCGACACACGUACUACAAUGGCUGGGACAAAGGGCAGCAAGCUCGCGAGAGUAAGCGAAUCUCAUCAAACCCAGCCACAGUUCAGAUUGCAGGCUGCAACUCGCCUGCAUGAAGUAGGAAUCGCUAGUAGUCGCAGGUCAGCAUACUGCGGUGAAUUCGUUCCCGGGCCUUGUACACACCGCCCGUCACACCAUGGAAGCUGGCUACGCCCGAAGUCGUUACCCUAACCCGGUUUUGGGAGGGGGAUGCCGAAGGUAGAGCUAGUGACUGGGGUGAAGUCGUAACAAGGUAGCCGUACCGGAAGGUGUGGCUGGAUCACCUCCUUU
rnacentral:rRNA from 1 species